UUUUCCAGUGAAAACUUCAUCUGUUGAUAUUUACUGUGAACGUUUUGUGUAUAUUUAAAUAUAUUCAGCUAUGUUAAAAGACAUGUGUAAUGUCAAAUCAUAAAAAUACUAAGUGUUUAUUCUUAAAGAAAACUUGUAAGAUUUCCACAGCUGUUUUUGUUGAAUAUGUGCAAUUUGUGUACUCAGUGCAAUUUGGGUACUGUUACGUUAUAUCUGUUCUCUACAGAGCUAAGUAUUUAGUGACAAUCUAUUUUCGUAUUGGAUAAUGUAUCUGGUCUAAAAAAAAAUAGUUUGCCACAAGUAUUUAGUGACAAUUAUCUAUUCCUGUAUGAGAUGAUGUAUCUGGUGUGAUUUUUUUAUUAUUUUACCACUGAAUGAAUCACCAAUCAAACUAUAUAAAUAGAUUGAAGUUAAAAAAAAUAUCUGGAAAAUUAACUGAAUCCUUAGACAGAAUGAAUAAUAUAAUUAUAACUUUUUUGUUAUGCCCAACUGCUAGUCGAAGGGGCAUUAACUUUUACUGUUGUCAUGAUGUCCAUCCAUACAUAUGUCUGUCUGUACAGAAAUUGGUUUCCAUUUUCUUACUUUAUUUGCACUCAAUUAUUUUUUUCACAGAACACAGAUCAAUUUAUUCGAAUUUGAGUGGCAUCACUUUGACCGUUCGUGAGUUAUGCCCCUUUAUUAAUGCAAAAAUUGCUGAAUCUUUCUUUUCUUUUCUCUAACUUUAGUUUGUCCCAACAAAUGUUAUAAAACUUAUACACUACUUAUUACCACAAAACACAGAUCAAGUUUGAAUUUUACUCCCGUCACUGUAACCGUUCUUGAGUUACAUGUAUUUAUGCUCCUUUAUUAUUAAAUGGAAAAAAUUGCCAAAUCUGUGGUGGAUCCGACAAACUGUUGUAUACCGAUUUUAUUUAUUUAGAUAUGAUUUACAAACUUCAGAAAAGGUUGAGAAGCAUUUUAAUUCUAAGGAAUUCCAACCUGAAGCAAGUUGUACCAAUGGAAUUGAUGGAAGCCCCCAUUAGAACACUGUGCAUAACUGGGGUUGCAACUUCACCAUCUCAUACAGCAUCUAGUUCAUCAAAGAUGACCUAUGCUGAAGUGGUGAGACUUCAUGUGCAUGCAACAGGUCAGACCAAACUAAAACCACGUUUGAUAUUAAGUGUAUGGAAAUGAAGAAAUCAAUUGGAGUCCCUACAUUCAAAAGGAGGAGUGUGUCUUCAGUUGAGAUUGGUAGAAAAAAAGAAAAAACAAUACAGGGUAAAGACAAGUGAUCUAGUAUUUGGGGUCACAGAGGAUGUGGCUGUAGUCCUACCAAACAAAGCUUUACUGGAACAUAGUUUUUAUCAGACUCACAUAAAAAAGCAACUGCUUGAACCCAUAUCAAUGCAGCCUACGAAGAAAAUGUCUGUGAUGAAGAAAGAAGAAAAGAGCACCUUUAAUUGUCCUGUUUGUCCAGUGAUGUGCUUAAAAGAAGACUUUUUGAUAGAUCAUGUUAUUUUGGCCAUACUAAAAAAAUAAAAAAAGGUUUGAUUGAUAAUGUCAUAUAUUACAUGAAACUACAGCCUUCAUUCAAACACUCGGCAUCUUCCCAAAACAAAAAUGAAACAUUUGAUAGAUUAGCGAUUCAAAGAACUCAAGGACUCAAGGACGUUGAACCGAAAAACAACUCAUAACCAAUAACUAUCACGUAAGAAAAUGCUUGUAAAUAUUUAAAAAGUGUGUACAUGACAUUUGAAAAAAAGAAAGCGUGUAUUACACAAUUGAAUAGGUAACUAUGGAUACAUGUACUUUUUAUCAUAUAACCAAUUGGAAUGUUACACCAUCAUUUCCCAGUCAAUCAUAUUCAUGCAAUUUUUUAUUCACUCCUUGCAGUGUAAUUCAAGAAAUAUCUCUUAAUGUGAGAAAUAGACAACAUGCUAUAAACAUGAGAAAAUAGAUUUAAUUUUCUAAGGCUUGACACAUUUAUAAAAUGAUCAACAUAGAAUAAAGAAUGGAAACGGGUAAUGUGUCAAAGAGACAACAACUCAACCAAAGAGUAGAAAACAGCCCAAGGCCACCAAUGGGUCUUUAAUGUGCACUAUUAUAUGAUUGUUAUAAGCAAAAAAUAAAUAAGAAUUUAUGUUCUUAUGCCUUCAUUUAUUUUGUAGGCAGAAUUCAGACAGACAGAG